ACGACCUUUCUUGAAAAUGAUCUUUUCUAUAGGCUUGUACCACUAUAUCCUUGAUUUCUAAGGAGACAGGAAACUAAGUCUGGUGGGUGAAUUGUUGACAUUAGCUGAGCGCAUUAUUAAUAACACCCAUGGCUAUUGUGGGUCAUCGCCCCAAUAGAUGAUCGUUCUCAACUCCAAUUAUGCUGCUUGGGAUGGUCUAAUGGCUGUCUGAUAGACU